rnacentral:rRNA from 1 species
AUUGAACGCUAGCGGCAGGCCUAACACAUGCAAGUCGAACGAGUGGCGGACGGGUGAGUAAUGUCUGGGAAACUGCCCGGUGGAGGGGGAUAACUACUGGAAACGGUGGCUAAUACCGCAUACCAUCGGAUGUGCCGAGAUGGGAUUCGCUAGUAGGUGGGGUAAUGGCUCACCUAGGCGACGAUCCAUAGCUGGUCUGAGAGGAUGACCAGCCACACGGGAACUGAGACACGGCCCAGACUCCUACGUGAGGCAGCAGUGGGGAAUAGUGCACAAUGGGCGCAAGCCUGAUGCAGCCAUGCCGCGUGUAUGAAGAAGGCCUUCGGGUUGUAAAGUACUUUCAGCGAGGAGGCGGUACUCGCAGAAGAAGCACCGGCUAACUCCGUGCCAGCAGCCGCGGUAAUAC